CUGCUAAGGUGCAUACAAAGCAUUACAUUAAGCAACAAUCACCAAUACAGGUACUUUAAUAUUAGAGCACAGCAACAUGCAUAGCUUUAUUAGCCAUUAUUACACAAGCAACAUGACAAUGUUACAUCUAAACAGUUUCUGGGCCAUUGGGUCUACAUUUAGUGAAAACUCUUAAUCUGGGAUUCAGACCUCUUCAACUAAGCAAUGACCAGGAUCCACCAACCUGUAACAGAGAGAUGAACAACCAGUAAAGGAGCGGGAAACGGUGCAAAAUCGGCAUGGACAAAAUCAGAUCACUAUCAUUGCAUACAUUCCAUAUUUACAUAUUAACAAGGUAAUUUAAAAUUUUUGCCCAAAAUAUUUGAAUAUGACAAAUUCUCCAAUGUAGCUUUUUUUUUCUCCAAUGAGAUUAUGGAAACUUAAAAUGUGCAGCUCCCUUGACAAUUC